UGAGGAAUAUUGGGCAAUGCCCGCAAGGGUGACCCAGCAACGCCGCGUGGAGGAUGAAUGUCGUAAGAUUGUAAACUCCUGUUAGAGGGGAAGAAUAGUACCGGUUGGACCGGUAUAUGACUGUACCCUCAGAGAAAGCCCCGGCUAACUACGUGCCAGCAGCCGCGGUAAUACGUAGGGGGCAAGCGUUGUCCGGAUUUACUGGGUGUAAAGGGUGCUCAGGCGGAUUUGUAAGUCAGAGGUGAAAUCUUACAGCUUAACUGUGAAACUGCCGUUGNUACUGCAAGCCUAGAGUAUGGAAGAGAGUGAUGGAAUAUCUGGUGUAGCAGUGAAAUGCGUAGAUAUCAGAUAGAACACCAAUGGCGAAGGCAGUCACUUGGUCCAUUACUGACGCUAAAGCACGAAAGCGUGGGUAGCAAACA
rnacentral:rRNA from 1 species